UCUCUCUCUCUCUCUCUCUCUCUCUCUCUCUCUCUCUCUCUCUCUCUCUCUCUCUCUCUCUCUCUCUCUCUCUCUCUCUCUCUCUAACUGAGGGACUGACUGGAUUAAUGACUGGUCGGUUACUGAGUGGAAAUAUUAAGUGGACUCGUUCUUAGAGUGAAUUAGAAGGUGAAUGGGUGGUUGGGUGGAUGAAUGGGUGAGUGGUUGAGUGGUUGCAAGGUCUGUACCCACCUGAGUUCUCGUAUCUCCUUGCCUCUCUCUCUCUCUCUCUCUCUCUCUCUCUCUCUCUCUCUCUCUCUCUCUCUCUCUCUCUCUCUCUCUCUCUCUCUCUCUCUCUCUCUCUCUCAAUCAUGUGUUAUCUCUCUUUGUUUGCUUUUCGUCAUCUUUCAUAAUAUUAUCCUCCUUUUCCUUACCUUCGUCUUUCAUCUCUUAUUUGCUUCCUCCUCAAUCCUCUCAGUUCCUGCUUUAUUCUCCCUCUCUAUGUUUCUUCCUUAUUCUUUCUUUAUGCAUCCCUUCUCUUCAUCCUUUUCGUUAUCCUUUGUCUUUUUCCUUUGCACUCAUCUUUAUUCUUCCCUUUUAACUUUCCUAUUUGAGUUUUUCCUCCUUAUUCCCCUUCUCUACCUUUCUUGCUUCCUUCUUCCUUACUCUUUAUUCUUCUCUCUUCUCCCUCUGUAACAGAAAAAGAAAGAAAGAAAGAAAGAAAAUCAGCUAAGUUUUAUCUUCCUCUGUUUAUAUUCUUCACACACAACUGUAAACUCGUACACUCACAUACGCACACACAUACACGUAUACACACAGGUAGUGCACACACACACACACACACACACACACACACACACACACACACACACACACACACACACACACACACACACACCCGAAAAAAAAUGUUGCCUGAAGAAGCAGAACACAAUGGAGGUUGAUGGAAGAAGGAGGAAAUGGAAAGGAAUGGAAUGGAAGGGAGAAGUGGCAGCGGGAAAGUGGAAAAGUCUGCGGGAAUGAAGCCAAUCAACAGACGGGCGGAGAUUUCAACGCGACGGUGAUGAUGAUGGUGGUGAUGGUGGUGCUUCUCGUCCUCACCUCCUCCUUCUUCUUCUUCUUCUUGGUGGAUUGAGUGGAUGGAAAAUGAAGAUAAAGGGAAGAAUGGCAUGAUGUGGUGGACCAGCCGAGGUGGCGCCCCCCACCCACUGCCGCCCCGCCCCCAACCUUCUGUCGCCUUCCUCGCUAGGAGCGGCGCCCCCUUCACCAAACCCCCAUUCCUGGAGGCCGCGUUUGCAUCCUGGUUGACAUCCCCCUCUCUCCCCCUCCCCCUCUCUCCCCCUCCCCCUCUCUUCCCACUCCCCCUUUCCUUCAUCAUUUAUCCUCCCUCUCCUUUCCUCUCCCAUUCUUCCUCCCUCUUUUCCCCUUUUCUUCAUUCUCCUCUUUACCUUCUUCCUUCUCUCUCUUCCCCUCUCCACUCUCUUCUCUCCCUUCUCUUCUUUCUCCCUUUCCUUCCCUCAUCCUGUCAGCAAAUUCCUUCCUCCUCCUCUUCCUCCUCUUCCUCCUCCUCCUCAUUAUUAUUAUCAUCAUCAUCAUCAUCAUCAUCAUCAUCAUCAUCAUCAUUAUCAUCAUCAUCUUCUUCUUCUUCUUCUUCUUCUUCUUCUUCUUCUUCUUCUUCUUCUUCUUCUUCUUCUUCUUCUAUCGCUCUAUCUCUGUAUAACUCUAUUGUAUUUUCACGCCCUUCUUCACUCUUCCUCCUCCUCCUCCUCCUCCUCCUACUCCUCCUACUCCUCCUCCUCCUCCUUCUUCUAAUGUUUAUUCUAAUUUUUAUUUUUCCUUUUAUUCUCAGAAGCAAUAAGCAAUAAGGUAAUGUAAUUUUGUUGUUGUUGUUAUUAUUAUUAUUAUUAUUAUUAUUAUUAUUAUUAUUAUUAUUAUUAUUAUUAUUAUUAUUAUUAUUAUUAUU